AUACGGAGGAUGCAAGCGUUAUCCGGAUUUAUUGGGUUUAAAGGGUGCGUAGGCGGUUUGCUAAGCGGGAGGUGAAAUGCCGGCGCUCAACGUCGGAAGUGCCUCCCGAACUGGUGGACUGGAAUGACUCUGCCGUGGGAGGAAUGGGUAGUGUAGCGGUGAAAUGCUUAGAGAUUACACAGAACACCGAUUGCGAAGGCAUCUCACGAAGGGUUGAUUGACGCUGAGGCACGAAAGCGUGGGGAUCAAACAGGAUUAGAUACCCUGGUAGUCCACGCAGUAAACGAUGAUGGCUAACCGCUGGUUUAUUCGGAUCAGUGGCCAAGCGAAAGCGAUAAGCCAUCCACCUGGGGAGUACGACCGCAAGGUUGAAACUCAAAGGAAUUGACGGGG
rnacentral:rRNA from 1 species